rnacentral:rRNA from 1 species
UGCAAGUCGAACGGUAACGACGGGAGCUUGCUCCCGGGCGACGAGUGGCGGACGGGUGAGUAAUACUUAGGAAUCUGCCCAGUAGUGGGGGACAACUCGAGGAAACUCGAGCUAAUACCGCAUACGCCCUACGGGGGAAAGCGGAGGAUCUUUCGGGACUUCGCGCUAUUGGAUGAGCCUAAGUCGGAUUAGCUUGUUGGUGGGGUAAAGGCCUACCAAGGCAACGAUCUGUAGCUGGUCUGAGAGGACGAUCAGCCACACUGGGACUGAGACACGGCCCAGACUCCUACGGGAGGCAGCAGUGGGGAAUAUUGGACAAUGGGGGCAACCCUGAUCCAGCAAUGCCGCGUGUGUGAAGAAGGCCUGCGGGUUGUAAAGCACUUUCAGUAGAGAAGAAAUGCCCAUGGUUAAUACCCGUGGGUCUUGACGUAACCUACAGAAGAAGCACCGGCUAACUCCGUGCCAGCAGCCGCGGUAAUACGGAGGGUGCGAGCGUUAAUCGGAAUUACUGGGCGUAAAGCGCGCGUAGGCGGUUUGGUCAGUCGGAUGUGAAAGCCCUAGGCUCAACCUGGGAAUGGCAUUCGAUACUGCCUGACUAGAGUAUGGUAGAGGGAAGUGGAAUUUCCGGUGUAGCGGUGAAAUGCGUAGAUAUCGGAAGGAACACCAGUGGCGAAGGCGACUUCCUGGGCCAAUACUGACGCUGA